rnacentral:tRNA from 1 species
CUCCACAUAGCGUAAUGGUGAUCGCGUCUGACUACGGAUCAGAAGAUUCUAGGUU